rnacentral:lncRNA from 1 species
CGCCCUCACCGAGAGAGCGCGCGGAAGCGGAACAUGGCUGAAAUGGUGCGAUCUCGUUCAUAACAGUUAUUGAGUGUUAAGUUUAAAGAGUUGUUGCUACUCCAGUUCUGCACAUUUCACAUGGACACGACGUUUGAGUAGUUGUCAGAAAACAAUCCUGAAUAUCUAUUAUCUAUAACUGCCCUAUUGUGCAAUAGCACGCUGGCUAAUCAGUUGUCGUCGAUUAAUCAACAACAACAGCAACACAGAGAAAGUGUUUUUGUUCAAGUAACAGACAGUAACGGGGGUGUAACUGUAGCAGACCCUCCAAAACAACCCCCCAAACGCCGACGCUUCCUCCAUCACAACAGUACCCGUUUACUCCAACAAGGUAAACAGCUCCUUAAAUCUGAAGCCAAUAACCUUCAAACACACCACUCUCACAGAUGAGGAAAAAGGUGGUCCUCUGUGGUCUCCUUCCCCACCUCGUACAGAGAGACGGCCAAUCAGCAUUGAUCUGAGUGGCUCAGAGGAGGAGCCAGAACAGACUGAAGCUCAGCAGAUCCUCCGUUCCCCCUCUCCACCCCCUCUACCAUGUAGUCCACUACUGAAACGGAGCAGACGGGCAAACCCAAAAAUACAAGAAAUCCACAGGAAAUUGGAUGCGAUUGGCUCUCUGGUGUGUCUCUCGCCUGAGCCUCAGGAGCCUGUGGUUGAAUACAG